GCUGUUAUAAACACUGCUACGGUCUUCGUUCUGCUCUUUUUCAAAUUUCAAUUAUUCCAAGUGGGUUAAUCAAACAAGUAACAGGCACGUGUAACUGUUAGCACGUGCAAUUUGUAGUUGCUUAGCUCAAAGAACAUGACAUUAUUAUAUCAGGCCACGACCAAAUACAUAUAUGGCCUUGGUCACAACCAAACCAAAUCUUUUUUACUCGAUCCAUUAGCAAUCCAUUUGCAAAGGUAGUGAAAAGGAAAAAAAUAAAACGCUGGUAUGACCCAACUACUUACUGUUCGAGGGCAAUAUUUAUGUUAUGUAUGGAUGACUUUCCUGUUGAAAGGACUAAGUGCAGCUGAUGAAGUUCCCAGUAGCGGAGAGGAUGUCUAUGAUUUCCUGAUGAGCAGCAUCGAACACAUGAUCGGCACCACAGGGCCGUGCUCGUGGCUGGGACCGUCCCACCAGGUGCUCCACUACACGCUCAACUGCGUCGACUGCUGGUGUGACCAGCAGCUGGGCCGCUACCAGUGUCACGAGGCGCGCCAGUGCGACACCAGCCUGUGGCCCGUCAAACGGCCCCUCAUCACCUGAUGACGCCCGACCCGGGAGGGGUCAGAGUGGACAAACAUCUCCCAGCACGAGGAUCUCAGAUCGGCGCCAGCUCACAGCUAACGACUGUUGCUAUUGGAAUAAAUAGCCCGAGCGAGUGCGGCUUUUACGCAGCGCCAAUGCGUGGUAUGUGUGUUAAUGUGUAUAUGUGGGAGGGGGAGGGGGAGAGGGAUGUGCCCGUUAUUAUUUCUCAUCGACAAAAUAUAUCAUGCUAUUUGAACAUCUA